rnacentral:rRNA from 1 species
UGGGGAAUUUUGGACAAUGGGCGCAAGCCUGAUCCAGCAAUGCCGCGUGCAGGAUGAAGGCCUUCGGGUUGUAAACUGCUUUUGUACGGAACGAAAAGCCCUGGGUUAAUACCCUGGGGUCAUGACGGUACCGUAAGAAUAAGCACCGGCUAACUACGUGCCAGCAGCCGCGGUAAUACGUAGGGUGCAAGCGUUAAUCGGAAUUACUGGGCGUAAAGCGUGCGCAGGCGGUUUUGUAAGACAGAGGUGAAAUCCCCGGGCUCAACCUGGGAACUGCCUUUGUGACUGCAAGGCUAGAGUACGGCAGAGGGGGAUGGAAUUCCGCGUGUAGCAGUGAAAUGCGUAGAUAUGCGGAGGAACACCGAUGGCGAAGGCAAUCCCCUGGGCCUGUACUGACGCUCAUGCACGAAAGCGUGGGGAGCAAACAGG